AACACGGAUGACCUCCUGGUGGCUUCGGCUGAGUGCCCGAGUGACGACGAGGACCUGGAGGAGUGCGAGCCCGGCACAGGCGGUGAGCUCGUGCUGGCGGCGGCCCCGCUCUCCCCGUCCCCGUCCCCGUCCCCCCGCGCCGCCCCCCCGGGCUGCGGCCCCGACUGCGAGGAGCCCUCGGGCUUCGCCUCGGGGGAGGCGGCGGACGCCAACGCGCCGCCGGCGGACGAUGAGGAUUUCGUCUCGCGGCCCCGCGGCGGCGACGACGACGACCGCCGCGCCGUCACCCGGCACCGCGACCUCGUCACCCCGCCCGGGGUCACCGCCGUGGCCGUCACCGCGGCCGGCCCGCUGCCCGGUUUGGUGCCGGCGGGCGAGCGGCACCCGCGGGAGGGCGGGUUGGGUCGCGGCAGGGCGACGGCCGUCCCCGUCACCCCGCGUCCCGCUGUCCCCACAGCCGCCGCCGCCCCCGGCGCCGUGGAGGUGGUGCGCGAGGCCGGCGGGACCACCGGGAUGGUGGUGGGCAUCGUGGCGGCGGCCGCGCUCUGCAUCCUCAUCCUGCUGUACGCCAUGUACAAGUACCGCAACAGGGACGAGGGCUCCUACCAGGUGGACCAGAGCCGGCACUACAUCGGCACCGCCGGCCCCGCGGCCCCCGACGCCAACAGCGCCAACGCCGCCGCCGUCCCCGCUUCGGCCGCGGGGACCCCGAAGGAGAAGGCGGCCGGGAACCCGCCGAAGGCGCCCGGCAAGGCGCGGCGCAACAAGGACAAGGAGUACUACGUGUGACGGAGCCCGCGGCGGCCGGCGCCGCCCCCCCCGUGGGUGUCGUUGCCGCCCCCCCUCCGGGCGUCGUCGCCCCGCCUAUGGGUGUUGUCGCCCCCCGCCCGCCCCCCCCAGUGGGUGUCGCUGUCACCCUGCCGGUGUUGUCACCCCCCGUGGGUGUCAUCGUCACCCCCCCAAUGGGUGUCACUGUCACCCUGCAGGUGUUGUGGCCCCACCAUGGGUGCUGUCACCCCCCCAAUGGGUGUCACUGUCACCCUGCAGGUGCUGUCACCCCCCCAAUGGGUGUCACUGUCACCCUGCAGGUGCUGUCACCCCAUACGGGUGUUGCCGCCCCCUGGGUGUCAUCGCCAUCCUCCAUGGGUGCCCUCACCCCCCAAUGGGUGUCACUGUCACCCCCCCGUGGGUGCUGUCACCCCAUCCCAGGGUGCCACCCCCGCCGUCUCCGCUGUCCCUGGGUGUUGUCACCCCCCCCCCCNNNNNNNNNNNNNNNNNNNNNNNNNNNNNNNNNNNNNNNNNNNCAUCAGACCCCCUUGGCCCCCUCGGGCCCGCACAGAGGAAUACACGGUUCUAUGCUUCGUACCCCGCCUCUGCCUGCUGCCGCGCCGCCCCCCGGGACCCCCACGCCAUGGGGAGGGGGGGGUAGCGGGAGACCCCCCCCCCCCCAAAACAAGGGAACCGCCCCCCUUUAUUUCACCCUAACAGUGUGGGACUCCCACUGUAGGACCCAACUGUAUGGGGUUUCACCCCCCCCAUGGGUCCCAACGUUUUGGGACCCCCCCACUCUGUGGCUCAGGACGUUGGAGGACCCCGCGCCCUCCCGCCGCAGGGUGGCGCUGUCCCCACGCCCCGAUCCCUCCCCUCGCCACGUGACGCGGCGCUGUGACGUCACACGGCGCGACUCUCUCUCCCUCCGUUCUCGUUUCGGUCGCGUUUGGGCCGAGCGCGCCCCGGGGAUGGAACCGGAACCGGAACCAGAACCGGAAGCGGCGGCCUCCGGGGCUGUCGCGGUCCGCGUCUUCCUGCCCGACGGCUCCGCGGUGCCGCUGGCGCUGCCCCCCCCGGUGCUGGGGCUGACGGCGGCCGUGCUGCUGCGCUGCCUGUGGGACACGGCCGGGCUGGGCCCCGAGGGCUGCGCCGCCAUGGCCCUGUGGCUGGUGUCGGGGCUGCUGGAGGUGCAGCUGAAGCCGCGGCAGCAGCCGUUCCGCCUGCGGCGGCAGUGGGCAGAGCUGGUGCUGCGCCUCAGCGAUGCCCCCCCCGGAGCUGUGGCCAGGGGUAAGGCUGGGGGGCGCGGGGGGGGGGNCCCCCCCGCCGCCCCCCCGGGCCCCCCCCCGAGGAGCUGCUCAGCGCCUUCAGCCGCACCCCCGGACCUGAGGCCCCCCCCGGGGCGCUGCUGCGGAGCUUCCUGCAGGGCUGCCACCGCCUGCACGGCUACGGGUGUGCUUUUUUCCCAGGGGCCAUCGACCGCCCCCCCGGGGGGCUGCUGGGCCGGGGGGGGCUGCGCCCCGUCAACGUGGCUGUGGGGCUGGAGGGGGUCACCAUCAUCGACGCCAGGGAGAAGCACGUGCUGCUGACGCUGUCCUACCCCGAGCUGAGCUGGGAGCUGGUGGGCGCCGUGGGGCAGGACGGGGACGCAGCCGAGGGGCUGGGGGGCGCGGACACGGCGGAGCCCCCCCAGCUGUGGUUGGAGUUUGAUGGAGAACACGAGGGUGCCCGCGUGAACCGGCUGCUGCGGGUGCUGUCCCCACAGGUCUGCCUGCCGGGGGGGCACUUGGGGGGCUCGGUUCUGUCCUAGGAGUCCUUUGGGGGGGCACUGGGGGGGUUCCCAGCAUUCCCCUGUGGGCACUGGGGGACUUGGUUCUGUCCUAUGGGGCACUCGGGAGUCACCU
rnacentral:lncRNA from 1 species